UUUCAAGGGGGAAGCUUUUUUUAAAAAAAAAAUCUCUACUAACUUAGGCAACCUGGCAGACUGAAUAAGGGCACACACUUCAUAGUGGGCUAUCCAGUUAGUUUGGUUACUAUGUUGCUCACAUU
rnacentral:snoRNA from 1 species